UCUCACCUAUAACACAGCCUAGCAAACCAGUGACUCCCUCUUCCAGCUCUAUGCAUAAUGUAGAGUUAUAAUCUCUGUCUUAGGAAGUAGCACAGUCUUCCCCCCAGUUAUUAGAGCCAGAAAAUAUGGAAGUCAUCCUUGAUAUUUCUGUUUUCUUAAUCUUCUGUAUUCAAUCUGUUGGCAAAUCCUGUUAGUUCCCUCUUCAGAACUGCUUUACUUUGUUCAUACAACAUCCAUAAUAAUCCUUUUAAAAAUGAAAGCACUCACUGUGUAGCUAAAAUCGAAAAGGGUGACAUUACCAGUUGGUGGUAGGCUGCAAGCAAUGCCAUCUCAUGCUGUUAGCACAAGUUUUAAUUCGCAAAACAACCUGGAAAAGAAGAGGCAUCGCUUUUAAGGUUGAAGAUAUGCCACGAUUCUGUUCCUAAAGUCACACCAUCCAGAGCGUGUGGAUGGAUGCCACAAGGCAGGGACAGUGGUAUUUACAGCUGCAGUGUUCACCAUGGACCCAAAAGCAACCCAGGGUGCAUCCGCAGUAGAUGAGAUACAAACAUUGAAUGGAGGGAGAGACAUACAGUGGAACACUUAGAGUGAUAAAAAUGAAUAAUUUACCCCUUCAUGGAACAACGUGGAUGGAUUCCCCAAAUUAUAUUAACCUUUUAAUACUUAUUCAAAGAAACCAGACACAAAUUGAUACAGAGAACAGUUUCAUUUAUAUAAAGUUUACAGACCUGGAAAGCUGAGCUAUAGUGUUUAUCCAUUCAUGCUUAGGUGGGAAAAGUAUUUUUAAAAAGUAGGAAAAUUAGUACAACAAAAGUCAAAAUAGCAGUUACCCAGGAUGGGAAGGGAAGGUAGUUUUAAGUGACAAGGGACAGACAGGGGAGUUCCCAAGUGCUAGGGGUUGAGUCAGAGCUGUAGCCGCCAGCCUGUGCCACAGUCACAGCAAUGCCAGAUCCAAGCCAUGUCUGUGAGCUCACGGCCACGCCGGAUCCUUAACCCACUGAGUGAGGCCAGGGAUCGAACCCAUGUCCUCAUGGAUACUAGUUAGGUUUGUUAACCACUGAGCCACGACGGGAACUCCUACAAGACCACAUCUUGUAAUAAUUAUUUAAUCUCUGCAUAUGCUUUCUGUACUUUUAUGCAUAUGCGUUAUGUUUUAGAAAAAUACAGGUAUUAUUGUGUGUAGCAUGAAAUCUAAACAUCUUCUUCUUCAAAUCCAGCCCUUGACGAGACUGCUGAAGCUGGCUGGACUCCUUUGCAAACUCAUCUCCUAGUCUUUGGCUGCCUGCUCACCGCUCUGAAUCUCCCCUGCUAUCUGCCAGUUCCUUGGACAAACCAAGUGCUCUGCUACCCCACAGCCUCUUUACGUGCUGUUCCCUCGUAAAGCCUUCCCCUGGCUUUUGUUCGCUGAACUUCGUCUCAUCCUGAGUCUCAGGUUAAAAAUGUCAUCUCUUCAGAAAAGAGACCCUCGGUAAAAGGUCUACCUUUUAUCCUCUGGCCUAUCACGCUGUUUGUUUUCUUCUUUGCCCUGAGCACGAUGUGUGAUUCUCUCGGUGCGCCUUACUCAUUUGCUGACUCUGUUCCCCACGAGACUGGAGAGGUCUUUUGUCGGCUUCUUUGUUUGUCACUGUAAUCCGAGUUCUUGGCGCACAGUACACUUGGCUAGAUGUCCGUGCAGGAAGAAAAUUAGUCCCUCGGAUGGGGGACAUGUCCUUUUCGACGACUUAUUUGAGGAAUAUUAACCAUUAAAUAAUUAGACGUUUUCUCCUCUGGUUCAUAAAGCAAUUAGUUUUUGUUUUCAUAGCCUCUUUCCACAUACACACAGAAAUACCGUAUUGAAAACUAGCUCCACUCUUAAGAACAAAUAGGUUGCCUUCCAAAGUGAUGAUACAGAAUAGAUAAUACUUCAGUGGAUAUUAAGUUCUGAUUUGAGCGAGAGAUGGUUAGAGCCGGAAGAUACAUCACAGACCACAUGGCGGAUAAGGAAACUGAGGGCCAGAGAGGUGAGGUGGUUUCUUCAUGGUGGGAGGUUUGCAGGGAGAGGAGGAGGAGGAAGCGGAAAAGGAGUACAAGAUGGACUGGAGUCACACCUUAGGCAUUUGCCACGUGUGCAUGGGGGGAAGGUGACAGCUGAAAGCUGACUCAGCCAGGGUCGAGUAGUGAGUGACAGAAAGACUGUGUCAUGGCUGCCAGCUGACUUUCCUGGAGUGUGUGUGUGUGUGUUUCCCGUCUAAUGUAUGUGAGAUGAGUCUAGUCAUUUCUUUCCAGGUUAUCCUUUUAAGAAGGCACUAACCAGGACUCCUUUCACUUUUUCACCUCAAAGCACUGACAGUGGUUUUUAUUGGCCUUAAGGAAGGGCCACCACCUGUCCUGUGACUCCCUUCAGGUAACUGACAUUGACCUUAUGUGGGCGAUGUUUGGCCCCCAAGAGCCGCAGUUCCCUGAUGCCCGCAGAGUCUUGCAUCUCCAGGCACUGCUCUGGUUACUGUGCCAGGGUGGUCAUCGAAAUUCCCCAUCUUUCCGCGGGUUAUGAAAUCACAGGGGUUUUGGAAAUCUGCAUAAAACAUCUGAACGCUACUGACAUGGCCUAGCCCGUUAAUUAGCCAGUCAAUAGAUCAUUCAGUCUUAAAAGCUCAGUUUCUCUUCUCUGCAUUUAUUUUCAAACAAUUGAGCAGCAGCACAUUAGGAACGAAAUCAGAAUACUAAUUAAUUCCAAUUCAGUAAAUUUCCAAACAAGGUUUUCAUAUUCAUAUACCGGAAAUAUUUACAAAGUAAUUUCAUAAUACUAAAAUUUACCUCUUUUUCUGUUAAUUAUAUGGAAGGAAAAAACACAUGGAUGCUGUUUACACAUAUACUCUAGAGAUUUCAAUAGAAACAUAUUAAUAACACUAACUAAACCACUAAAAUAUGGUUCUCAAAGAGAACAAAAUCACCUCCCCAUGUUAAUUAGUCGUCAGAAUUGAUAGCUAGUAUAGAAUGUCUAUAAAUUUAAAUGGAGAGGAUGUCAAUUUUGCUACAAAGUGAGAUUAUGAAAUUAAACUGUCAAAACUUACAGAACUUGUUUCAGGAUGAAUAACGUAGUCCAAAAUUUAUUAAGAAAAUGAAUUUUUUGUAAAAGUGAAUUUUGUUUAAAAAAAAAAACACAUUAAGUUGUUUAACCAUUCCAGAAAUAAUUGGGAGGAGAAAAAAAUCACUGACAUUUUUUUUUCUAUUUAAAUCAGCUUGCAGUCAAUUGAUUAUCGUUAAAAGAGAGUAUGAAGGAUUAAAAAAACUCAAUCAAAAGCAAUGGGUAAGUCAAGAUUUAGAGACCCUUUUGAGAUUGGUACUUCAUUCUGUGGUUUUCAGCUGAUGUUGGUGAGGUGCUAUUCCCAGGGCUUAACAAGCAUUCCCAAAGAAGCUUAUAUAUCGAAAUGCCUCACAAACAAAAUUACUAAAAAUUGUUGGCUCUUUUCUGUUGUAAACCACACAUGUUUUGCUGGUUUAAUUCCUACUGAGGAUCUAAACAGUGGUAUACUCAUUUUUCUUCAUAGUAUUAUGAUGUUGUCUUAUAUUGGCAGACAAUUUGAAAAAUACAGAAAAAAGAGCACAUAAAAUAGCACCCACAAAUCUAUCACCAAAAUAUAUAUUUUUAUUUCAAUAGUCUCUUUGGCCAUGCCAAAAUAAUAUGCCUUACUGCAUAUGCAUUUUGAUGUGAUUAUAUACAGUAAAUAUUAGAUUAUAUCAUAUUUCAAAAAAUAAUCAGCUUUUUAAAGAUGUCAUUUGUAGGACAUAAAAUUUGCUUAUUUUUAGUACUAAACCAUUCUUGAUUCCUUUAAAGUAGUCCUUUCGAUGAUGCUUUAUUAUCUUCUAACAUACCACUAAAUAUAAUCUACCAAGUCUUCAUUAGGAUUUUUGCGUCUGUAUUUAUGUGUGAGUCGGAUCUAUAUUUUUCUUAUUUUAUCUUUGUCAGGUUAAAUAUAAGAAUGAUGUAAGUAUUACUAGAGACUCUUUUUAAAAAAUUCUGGAAGAGCAAAUAUGAUGGGGAUCAGUAUUUUAGGGGAUGAUAAUUAAAGCAAAAAAUAUGCUUAUGUAGGCCAGGAAUUAUUGUGUGCCUAUGUAUGUACAAACUCAAUGAGCAGUACCUGAAAUAAGACACUUUUUUAGGAAUUCCCAUCAUGGCUCAGUGGUUAAGAAACCCGACUAGUGUCUAUGAGGACAUGGGUUCCGUCCCUGGCCUUGCUCAGUGGGCAAAGGAUCUGGCAUUGCCAUGAGCUGUGGUAUAGGUCACAGAGGUGGCUCAGAUCCGGCAUUGCUGUGGCUGUGGUGUAGGCCAUCAGCUAUAGCUCUGAUUCAACCCCUCGCCUGGGAACCUCCAUAUGCCUUGGGUGCAGCCCUACAAAGACAAAAUACCCCCCCAUUUUUUUUUUUAAUUUCCAAAAUCAAAUGUUAAUACAAUGUGAGUUUUGGUAAUUUAUAUUAUCUUAUAAAUGAAUUCUGACACCUAGACACAUCAAAAAAUAGUUAGAAAUCUGUGUGUAUGUGUGUUUGAGUGAAUGCAGUGCCCACUUAAAGAAAACCGGAGUUCUGUUAGUUUUAAAAAAGGAUAGAAAAUGAGCAUCACGCUGGCGGCUAGCAAUGGUCACCGCAGUACGACAUGCCAACGAGAAGGAAAGCAUGCAGGUUAUUAUGCUCUCAAUCCUGGAAUAACUACGUGCUUAACUCUUCACAUUUGAAGAGGAGAAGAGAGUUCUUCUUUAUUAUCAAUUAGAUAGUACCCUAACAUUCAUUACUAAAGAAAAAUACAGUGAAAACCUUGAAAAGCCUCAAUUCAGUAUUCUGGUGUUUAUCAAGUAGCUAAAAAGACAGUUAUUUAUUAUUAAUAUUAUUUAUUAUAAUCGACCUUUGCCUGUACAAACUGUAUAUACCGAUCAAAUCCAGAAAGGUCAGUCAGUAUGACCAGUGAUUCCUACGUCCAUUCCCAGUUCUCAUUUUCAGUUCUGGUUCUGCCUGCCGGCUGUGUUCUGUCUCGUCCUGCCUUUUUCAUGCUUUAAUAGCUCAGCCUCUGAAGAAGACAGUUAUGCUAAGAAGACACCUGCUUUUGGGAAGAAUGGCUUACAUUCCAAAAGAGCGCGUGGGUGAUCUCAGUCUGCCCCGUUUAAAACCUUGAGGCAAAGGGAUCAUGACAUGUCUCUCAGUAGAUGGAAGUAUUUUCUGCUGUCUGCUCAGGAAAGGUCUUACAGCACAGCCUCUGAAUGCUUAUACCUUUGAGUCUUUGACGUAUGAGUUGGCGAAUAGCGUUUAAAGACCAGUGGGACAAUGAGGUUCCAUGCCCAGAGAGCCACUCUCCAGUCUUUGUGAGCGUUGGUUUACAAACUGAUCCUUGGUGGCACUCCAUUUUUCUCUUAAAGAAAAGUCAUACCAACUUUUAUGAGUCGGGGGAGAAAGAGCCAAGAGGAACUGCUCAUAUUUUCUGAAGUGACCUAUCAGUCAUGUUCAGUCCCACGUCCCAAUUUGUCCAAUUCCUCCCUCCGCACAUGUGUUUAGAAGAAAGAAAAGAGUGUGCAGUAAUUUGAAAUGGAUGGAAGCAUUGCUGUUUUCUUUUCAUCAGAAAAAUGAUUCCCCGUUGAGACUAUUUUUGUUUAAGAAAAUUGUGAAGAAAUAAUAUGUCUCCUCUCUAGUGUUCAGUCACAAUUACUAUAUAUUCAGCUGUCCUGGGACAGUAAUGCAGGGACUAUUAGCUCUUGUUGAUAUUUUGAAAUUGGCCUAAUUUGACUGUCUUACAGUCAUGGCCAUCUAAAGAUUAAUUCCCUCAGAAUCAAACUGUAGUUGGCCUAGACACUUGCCAUAUAUCUGCGUAGCUUAGAGAUGACUUGAUUAAAGGCAGAAAAUUUAUAGCCACUACUCCGUUAUAACAUAAAAAAAUCCUGACCAGAAACUAGUUUGAGAUUUUCUUGGUUUUACUCAUCCAAAGACUCAUUGUAACUUACUAUUUUCUAAAUGCUUGGAGUUUAUGUAAUUUUUACAUUCAUUGUCACACAUGGAAGUGACAGUAUCUCAGAAGACUGUUUCCCAAAGUGUGUUCUUUGGGACACUAGCUACACCAGAUGCUCUAUAGAACGCAAAGAUUCUGGAGACAAAUAAAUUUGGGAAAUGCUGCAGACUGUGUACCUCACUUGGAUAUUCAUAUUUGCAAAGUUCUAGAGAAAAGUUUAUGUUUGAAUUAGUCUAGCAUUUGACCCUAGAGCUCUAUGAUUAUAAAAUAUUCACACCCUUUAGAAGUAGUAUUUUUGCACAAUAGAUUUUGCAAAACACACAUCUAGAAUUUAGGUGGAGCAGGAGUUUCCAUCGUGGCUCAGUGGUUAAUGGCUCUAACUAGCAUCCAUGAGGAUGCAGGUUGAUCCCUGGCCUUGAUCAGUGGGUUAAGGAUCCCACGUUGCUGUGAGCUGUGGUGUAGGUCACAGACUCGGCUCGGAUCCCAUGUUGCUGUGGCUAUGUGGCACAGGCUGUGGGCUACCCCUAACCUGGGAACCUCCAUAUGCUAUGGGUGCGGCC
rnacentral:lncRNA from 1 species